rnacentral:rRNA from 1 species
AACGAACGCUGGCGGCAUGCCUAACACAUGCAAGUCGAACGAGAUCUUCGGGUCUAGUGGCGCACGGGUGCGUAACGCGUGGGAAUCUGCCCUUUGGUUCGGAAUAACAGUUGGAAACGACUGCUAAUACCGGAUGAUGACGAAAGUCCAAAGAUUUAUCGCCAGAGGAUGAGCCCGCGUAGGAUUAGCUAGUUGGUGUGGUAAAGGCGCACCAAGGCGACGGUCCUUAGCUGGUCUGAGAGGAUGAUCAGCCACACUGGGACUGGGACACGGCCCAGACUCCUAGGGGAGGCAGCAGUGGGGAAUAUUGGACAAUGGGCGAAAGCCUGAUCCAGCAAUGCCGCGUGAGUGAUGAAGGCCUUAGGGUUGUAAAGCUCUUUUACCCGGGAUGAUAAUGACAGUACCGGGAGAAUAAGCUCCGGCUAACUCCGUGCCAGCAGCCGCCGUAA